AACGAACGCUGGCGGCAUGCCUAACACAUGCAAGUCGAACGAGCCCUUCGGGUCUAGUGGCGCACGGGUGCGUAACGCGUGGGAACCUGCCCUUAGGUUCGGAAUAACUCCCCGAAAGGGGUGCUAAUACCGGAUAAUGUCUUCGGACCAAAGAUUUAUCGCCUUUGGAUGGGCCCGCGUUGGAUUAGCUAGUUGGUAGGGUAAAAGCCUACCAAGGCGACGAUCCAUAGCUGGUCUGAGAGGAUGAUCAGCCACACUGGGACUGAGACACGGCCCAGACUCCUACGGGAGGCAGCAGUGGGGAAUAGUGGACAAUGGGCGAAAGCCUGAUCCAGCAAUGCCGCGUGAGUGAUGAAGGCAUUAGGGUUGUAAAGCUCUUUUACCCGGGAUGAUAAUGACAGUACCGGGAGAAUAAGCUCCGGCUAACUCCGUG
rnacentral:rRNA from 1 species